rnacentral:rRNA from 1 species
UGAGGAAUAUUGGUCAAUGGGCGGGAGCCUGAACCAGCCAAGUCGCGUGAGGGACGACGGUCCUAUGGAUUGUAAACCUCUUUUGUCGGGGAACAACACGCCCACGUGUGGGUUAAUGAGUGUACCCGAAGAAAAAGCAUCGGCUAACUCCGUGCCAGCAGCCGCGGUAAUACGGAGGAUGCGAGCGUUAUCCGGAUUUAUUGGGUUUAAAGGGUGCGUAGGCGGACAGUCAAGUCAGCGGUAAAAAUGCGGUGCUCAACGCCGUACAGCCGUUGAAACUGGCAGUCUCGAGUGGGCGAGAAGUAUGCGGAAUGCGUGGUGUAGCGGUGAAAUGCAUAGAUAUCACGCAGAACUCCGAUUGCGAAGGCAGCAUACCGGCGCCCUACUGACGCUGAGGCACGAAAGCGUGGGUAUCGAACAGG